CAAGAGAUCAAAGUCAUUCAUUUUGGAUACAAUCAUAUUUUCAGGCUAAAGGGAAGGUUGGGAAGGUCAGGCAUUAGAAUGCUGGAGGAGUGUCCUUGGCAGAGAAGGACUAAGCCAGUGGAUCACAAACAUCCUGGAGAGCAGUGACUCUGUGAUUCCAUCACAAGAAUAUGAAGGACUGAGAAGAUCUCCAGCUCUGCCCAUUGCACCUUCCCAUUGAGAAGCAGCAUGGCACCCUGGUGGCAGGGGCUGAUACUCAGCCGGGCCAGGGUGCUCUCCUGUUAACCAUAACCAAGCUCACAGGACAUGGGAUGAGCCCACUGUGUGACACAGGGAGCGGGACACAGUCUGUUAAGUCUUGCACAGCCAUGCUCUGCCACGCAGGCAGGCCUUUCCUUGGCCUCCCUCUCCCUGUUCGUGCUCAUGUGAACAUCCACCUACGUGGAUAGACUGGGCUUUGGUUCAUUAUUGCUCUGUGAAUUCCUCGAACUUCCGCAUCUGCCCAACCUCCCCCACCCCAUUGUUUUCAUUGUGUUUCACCAAAUGGAAAUUCUAGAGUAAGCAUGUGAGUCCUCUCCCAAACUUGUUCACUGUUGAGAGUGCUAAAAUGCUAACCCCAGAUGCUAACUGAGGGGUAGGGUUACCUUAUCUUUAGAGCACUGCGAAUUGUAUGUUAAGUGGAACUUAAUGAAAAAAUAGUUAAUUGACCAACAUGAAUAUCCCCUGAACAGAAUCUCCCCUGAACAGAAUCCUACAAUGAAACUAAGGGAGAUAAAUAAAGCUGUUUACCUGAAAGCUCUCUCUAAUCAAGAUCCUUUGAAAUUUAUAAAACAUGGUCAAUAUUUGCACUGGACUUUGUAAAAAUAAAGCUUGAUAAGAGAAGAGUUUGAAGUGAAAUGCUGCCACUUUCUAUGCAAUAUUUGAUUUAAAUUUAAUUCCUAGAAACCUCAGAUGAAUGUGGUUCAUGUAUCAAAGCACUCAGCAUUAUUUAUCGCGGCCUUAAAUACACAGUGAGCUUACAUGUGAAUGAAUACAUAUAUUAUGUAUCUCUCUCUAUAUAUAUACUAUAUAGAUAAUAUAGUAUAUAUAUAUAUAUAGUGUAUAUAUACACUAUAUAUAUCGUGUAUACAUAUACUAUCUAUAUAGUAUAUAUGUAUAUGGUAUAUAUAUCUAUCUAUAGAUAGAUAGAUAGAUAUACUUAAAAAAACCCCAUUCCCUUAAGAGCAGUUAAGGGACACCAUAUAUCAAAUUUCUUGGCACGUUGUGAAUAUUAAUAUCCCCAAAGUGUCAAUGUCAAAUGAUUUGACUUGAAAUCACUAAGCUUGGUAAUCUCACUAUUUUUAAACAAGGCCUAACAUCUUUUAAUCUUGAAUACCAGCAAGUUCUCAGACUUCAGUUGUUUAUUUUCUCUUUUCUUUCCUUUAAAAAAUUCUGACAAGCUCUUUUCCUUGACACAAAGAAAGCGUAUAAAUUUUAUUUUGGUUUGAACAACAGAAAUUUGCCUCUCAGAAUUCUGGAGAUUGGAAAGUCUAAGGACUAAGCUGCUGGCCAAUUUAGUUCUUAGUGAGGACUCUCUUCCUGGCUUGUAGAUGGCUGCCUUCUCACUGCAUCCUCAGAGAGAGAGAGAGAGAGGGCUCUUGUGUCUCUUCCUUUCUCAUAAAGCGUCAGCUCUCUUGUAUUAGGGUCCCACCCAUAAUUACCCCCUUAUAUGCCCCAUCUACAAAUAGAGUCACAUUGUGGGUUAGAGCUUGGCAGUGAAUAAUUAUGGAGGUUAUUGUUGGCUUUAGAAUUUCGUGGUAGAAACAAU
rnacentral:lncRNA from 1 species